rnacentral:tRNA from 1 species
GGGAUAGCUCAGUUGGUUAGAGCAUGGUGCUGAUAAACGCCAAGGUUGCAAGUUUGAUCCCCAUUUGAGACA